rnacentral:rRNA from 1 species
UUUAAUUGAAGAGUUUGAUCAUGGCUCAGAUUGAACGCUGGCGGCAGGCCUAACACAUGCAAGUCGAGCGGCAGCGACAUAA